GUGUUGAAAAUGUGCCUCCUGG
rnacentral:piRNA from 1 species